rnacentral:rRNA from 1 species
UACAUGUGGGGCAAGCGUUGUUCGGAAUUACUGGGCAUAAAGGGUGCGUAGGCGGCUUGUUAAGUCAGGGGUGAAAGUUUUCGGCCCAACCGGAAAAUUGCCUUUGAUACUGGCGAGCUCGAGUGCGUGAGGGGUAACCGGAACGAGUCGUGCAGCGGUGAAAUGCGUAGAUAUGACUCGGAAGGCCAACGGCGAAGGCAGGUUACUGGUACGCAACUGACGCUGAGGCACGAAAGCGUGGGGAGCAAACAGG